UACGGAGGGUGCGAGCGUUGUCCGGAAUCAUUGGGCGUAAAGGGCGCGUAGGUGGCGGGACAAGCGUGCGGUGAAAGCCUGGGGCUCAACCCCGGGUCGGCCGUGCGAACUGUUUUGCUUGAGCACUGUAGAGGCAGGCGGAAUUCCGGGUGUAGCGGUGGAAUGCGUAGAGAUCCGGAAGAACACCAGUGGCGAAGGCGGCUCACUGGCCCGAUACUGACGCUGAGGCACGAAAGCGUGGGGAGCAAACAGG
rnacentral:rRNA from 1 species